GUAGUCUGUGAUGACAACAUUUUCAGUUGGCCUGAAUUAUUUUUGGAAUAUGAGGGCAACUUAAGUCACUACCUCUUCUGAGACAC
rnacentral:snoRNA from 1 species